rnacentral:rRNA from 1 species
CAGUAGCCACGGUAAUACAGAGGGUGCGAGCGUUAAUCGGAUUUACUGGGCGUAAAGCGUGCGUAGGCGGCUUCUUAAGUCGGAUGUGAAAUCCCUGAGCUUAACUUAGGAAUUGCAUUCGAUACUGGGAAGCUAGAGUAUGGGAGAGGAUGGUAGAAUUCCAGGUGUAGCGGUGAAAUGCGUAGAGAUCUGGAGGAAUACCGAUGGCGAAGGCAGCCAUCUGGCCUAAUACUGACGCUGAGGUACGAAAGCAUGGGGAGCAAACAGGAUUAGAGACCCCGUAGUCCCUGUCUCUUAUACA